rnacentral:lncRNA from 13 species
GAUGUUGUGGGAAGUUUACUUAAUACUUGUCUUAUUCAAAUGAGGUUUUUAUUUUUUGGUUGGUUUUUUUUUUCUUUUGUCUCUCUCUAUCUAUGCUGGAGUGUAGUGGCACAAUCUUGGCUCACCUCAACCUCCACUUCCUGGGUUCAAGCAAUUCUCUUGCCUCAGCCUUCUGAGUGGCUGGGAUUACAGGCAUGCACCACCAUGUCUGGCUAAUUUUUGCAUUUUAGUAGAGAUGGGGUUUCACCAUGUUGGCCAGGCUGGUCUCGAACUCCUGACCUCAAGUGAUCCACCUUGGCCUCUCAAAGUGUUGGGUUUACAGGCGUGAGCCACUAUGCCUACCCGUGUGAAAGAUUUAUACUAUAGGCAUUCCUGGGGGACUCCUUUGGGCUCCACCCACUUAGGCAACAGGGUGUUAGCGGGUCCCUGACCAAUUGUGUGGGACCUACCAAGUGUUUUCUGCCUUACUUUAAGGACCCAGCAGAUCCUCCCCUCCUCCACAAAGCCUUCCCGAGCAUUCCUAUUCUCAUUCUCGCAUCCAUCUUUCUUUCUAGUUCUUAAUAUCCAUGAUCAUCAGCCCUGUGCUUGCCUGGGGCAUCUUCUUUCUUGGCUGUUUAGUGUUACUUAUUUAUCUGUUUAGGCACUUACCUCUUUUGCCCCCAGGGAUGGUGGGUAUUUUGAGGAUGGUGGUACCUGAGUUGCACUUGUUAAUAUCCCCCUGUUCCGUGCAAAGUGUCUUCACACUUACACACACACCCACACAUGAUGCACUCACACAAAUGCUCCCAUCACCUUAAACCAGCAGGUAUCUGACUAUAAAUAAUCACCGAUGGAGACAUUGACGUCUCAUGAAUUUAGCUCUUCAUACUUCAUAAGAACCUUCGCACACUAUGUCAUUGCAGUUUUACGACCACCUGGGAGGAAGAUGUGUUACACCUUUCUCAAAAGCUGAGAACACAGAGGCUCAGAGAAGUGAGAUGACAUGGGAGACUCACAGCCAGACCUUUCGAGAGACAAAUAUUUGCCACAAACAAUCGCUGAUCCCUUCACCCAAGGGAGGGCUAGGGAGUACUCCCUCUGACCCAUGUUGCAGAAGAAGAAAGCCCUUGCAGUGGCUGAGAGGGCAAAAAGGGAGACAUUUCCAAACAGCAAAAGGACAAUGUUCUCUUCUAGAGGAGCUAGAAGACGCAGGUCUAACCACGGAGCAGGCUUCUCUAGGUCAAAUGCCUGGGAGAGCAGCUCUGAAACCUUUGUUGGGGAACUUCCAAGAAGAUUGAAAGUGAAGUCCUAA